rnacentral:rRNA from 1 species
UACGUAGGGUGCAAGCGUUAAUCGGAAUUACUGGGCGUAAAGCGUGCGCAGGCGGUUUUGCAAGCCGGAGGUGAAAUCCCCGGGCUCAACCUGGGAAUGGCAUUUGGGACUGCAAGGCUCGAGUGCGGCAGAGGAGACUGGAAUUCCUGGUGUAGCAGUGAAAUGCGUAGAUAUCAGGAGGAAUACCGAUGGCGAAGGCAGGUCUCUGGGCUGACACUGACGCUCAUGCACGAAAGCGUGGGGAGCAAACAGG